rnacentral:rRNA from 1 species
UGGGGAAUAUUGCACAAUGGGCGCAAGCCUGAUGCAGCCAUGCCGCGUGUGUGAAGAAGGCCUUCGGGUUGUAAAGCACUUUCAGCGGGGAGGAAGGUGUCAAGGUUAAUAACCUUGGCAAUUGACGUUACCGACAGAAGAAGCACCGGCUAACUCCGUGCCAGCAGCCGCGGUAAUACGGAGGGUGCAAGCGUUAAUCGGAAUUACUGGGCGUAAAGCGCACGCAGGCGGUCUGUCAAGUCGGAUGUGAAAUCCCCGGGCUUAACCUGGGAACUGCAUUCGAAACUGGCAGGCUAGAGUCUUGUAGAGGGGGGUAGAAUUCCAGGUGUAGCGGUGAAAUGCGUAGAGAUCUGGAGGAAUACCGGUGGCGAAGGCGGCCCCCUGGACAAAGACUGACGCUCAGGUGCGAAAGCGUGGGGAGCAAACAGG